AGGACGAACGCUGGCGGCGUGCUUAACACAUGCAAGUCGAGCGGUAAGGCCUUUCGGGGUACACGAGCGGCGAACGGGUGAGUAACACGUGGGUGAUCUGCCCUGCACUCUGGGAUAAGCCUGGGAAACUGGGUCUAAUACCGGAUAUGACCUGCUCUCGCAUGGGGGGUGGGUGGAAAGAUUUAUCGGUGCAGGAUGGGGCCCGCGGCCUAUCAGCUUGUUGGUGGGGUAAUGGCCUACCAAGGCGACGACGGGUAGCCGACCUGAGAGGGUGACCGGCCACGACUGGGACUGAGACACGGCCCAGACUCCUACGGGAGGCAGCAGUGGGAAUAUGCACAAUGGGCGAAAGCCUGAUGCAGCGACGCCGCGUGAGGAUGAAGGCCUUCGGGUUGUAAACCGUCUUUCAGCAGGACGAAGCGCAAGUGACGGUACCUGCAGAAGAAGCACCGCUAACUACGUGCCAGCAGCCGC
rnacentral:rRNA from 1 species